rnacentral:lncRNA from 7 species
AUAGGUAAUAGUUAGCUAGCUAAAAUAUUGUUAGGUAGGUUAAGUCAGCUAAUAAACUAAUUGUUAGCUAUAAAGUGGCUAACAAUUAUCUUCUUAGUUGACCGUGCAUUACUAUAUAUAGUUUUUAUAUAUUAACAAUAUCUAUCAUCUGUACAACACAAGCAAGCAUGAGUUACAAGGUUCAAACCCUAAUAUAUGCACUAUUUUUUUUAUUUUGCAUUUCGCACGUAGGGAGGGCAUGCGUGGGAGAACAUCGCAUCAAGAAACUCUCACUUUAAAAGUGCAGUGACUAUUAGCUCUAGAGGUUCUAAUGGGCCUAAACUAGCUUGGCGCUUUGCCACUCCGCUUGCCUUUGUCUGUUCCACGUCUUCGCCCCUGCGAGCGAGCAUCCAUCAGUCGAGCACGCUGUUGGGAGUCUUCGUCUUUCGAAUGUUCUAAAAAACACACUUAACCAUGGAUUGUCAAUGUGUUUUUAAGUGUUACAGGAGCUUCGGCAUCAAGUACCUUCGGAACAGGAUGAGGACAAGAACGAAGAUGUCAAGCUUCGUCACAAUACCAUAUGGAAACGAAGGUGAACAAUGCCGGGAGAAGGUGUUUAUGAUUUUGUACGCAAGACGAUAUGGGAAGAAGUUGAUAUAACCCUCUCAUCAUUUUGUAUAUCAUAUGUACAAAUAU